CCCAGGUAUAUUAGUCCAUUGUUCAUUACCAUAACAAAAUACCUGAGGCAGACUACUAAAGAAAAAAGGUAAGCCGCAAUGGUGGUACACACCUGAAAUCCCAACAAUUUGAGAGACUAAAGGAGGAGGAUUAUUAAAUUCAAGGCCAGCUUGGACAACUUGUCUCAGAAUAAAAAAUAAAAUGGUUUGGGAACCCCGGGAUUUGAUCCCCAGUACCAGGAGUAAAAAAGGAAAGGAAGAAGGGAGGAAGAAAGGAAAGAAGAAGUAUUUAACUUUCAGCUCUAGAGGUCCAAGGGCCUGCAUCUGGUGAUGACCUCCUUGCUGGCAGAGGGAGUUACAUGGUAAGAUUGGGAGCACAUGUACAUGUCCUGGUUGUCCCUUUUCUCAUAAAUCCACCAGUAUUCAACCAGGCCCCACCCUGAUGACCUUUUCUAAUCCUUAUCACUUCCUAAAGUCCUGCUUCUAAACAUUAUAGUUAGAUUGUUUUCACCCUCUUAAAACCUUAUAAUGGAGAUUAAAUUUCAACAUACGAAUCCUUGUUCAUAUGCUGAAAUUCAACAUAUGAACCAUAUCCAAACUAUAGCACCAGGUGACCCAUUAGCUCUGAUUCAGACAUGCAUAGACUUUCAGAGAUUCCUGUAGAGAAGAAGAAAGGGAGCCUUAUAUCAAGGCAAUCAGGUUUUUUUCUAAAAGGAAGAUUUAGGGCCUCUCAUACCUGGAGUGGACAGGUCAAUAGUCCCCAUAUUUACCCUGGCUCCUCAUAGGAGACCAAGUCAUUUUGAGGAAGUGGCACCAAAAAGAGACAUAUCUUUAAAAAGGGGCUCAGGGUCUAUAAUCCUAACUACUCAGGAGGUCGAGGCAGGAAGAUUACAAAUUCAAGGCCAGCCUCAGCAACUUAGUGAGACCCUGUCUCCAGAUAAAAAGGGUUGGGGAUGUAGCUCAGAAGUAAACUUCCCUGGGUUCAGUUCCCAAUACCACAGUUAAAAAAAAAAAAAAAGCUGGAGGAAAGAGGGUGUCCUGGGUCCUAGUCUGCCAACGAAUUCUGUUUGGGUUUGUUCACCCUCUUUUCUGAAAUAGCUCAUGC
rnacentral:lncRNA from 1 species